UCUCCGUAGGUGAACCUGCGGAGGGAUCAUUACAGAGUUCACGCCCUUCCGGGUAGAUCUCCCACCCUGUGUUAUCGUCACCUUGUUGCUUUGGCGGGCCGCCCAGGCCUUGGCCCGGCUACCGGCUCCGGCUGGUACGCGCCCGCCAGAGGACCCUAAACUCUUGAAUAUCAGUGUCGUCUGAGUACUAUGUAAUAGUUAAAACUUUCAACAACGGAUCUCUUGGUUCUG
rnacentral:misc_RNA from 1 species